rnacentral:misc_RNA from 1 species
GAUGAAGAACGCAGCGAAAUGCGAUAAGUAGUGUGAAUUGCAGAAUUCAGUGAAUCAUCGAAUCUUUGAACGCACAUUGCGCCCUUUGGUAUUCCGAAGGGCAUGCCUGUUCGAGCGUCAUUUAAACCAUCAAGCGCUGCUUGGUCUUGGGCGUUUUUGUCGUGGCUUUGGUCGCGACUCGCCUUAAAAUCAUCGGCUGCUGGUGUGUCGGUCACGGAGCACAGUACAUUGUUGCUUUCCGCCGCGCGCUGGUAGUUGCCGUUCUGAAUUAUCAAUUCAAUUUUGACCUCGGAUCAGGUAGGAAUACCCGCUGAACUUAAGCAUAUCAAUAAGCGGAGGA